GAUGAACGCUGGCGGCGUGCCUAAUACAUGCAAGUCGAGCGAACAGACGAGGAGCUUGCUCCUCUGACGUUAGCGGCGGGCGGGCGAGUAACACGUGGAUAACCUACCUAUAAUACUGGGAUAACUUCGGGAAACCGGAGCUAAUACCGGAGAAUAUAUUGAACCGCAUGGUUCAAUAGUGAAUGACGGUUUUGCUGUCACUAAUAGCUGGAUCCGCGCUGCAUUAGCUAGUUGGUAAGGUAACGGCUUACCAAGGCAACGAUGCGUAGCCGACCUGAGAGGGUGUUAGGCCAACCUGGAACUGAGACACGUCCCAGACCCUUACGGGAGGCAGCGGUAGGAAAUUUGCCGCAUUGGGGGAAAGCUUGACGGAGCAACGCCGGGUGGGUGAUGAAGGUCUUCGGUUCGUAAAACUCUGUUAUUGGGGAAAAACACAUGUGUAUGUAACCAUGCAGGUCUGAAGGGAACCUAAUCAGAAGCACCGGCUAACUUACUG
rnacentral:rRNA from 1 species